UGGCGGCAUGCUUUACACAUGCAAGUCGAACGGCAGCACGGGAGCUUGCUCCUGGUGGCGAGUGGCGAACGGGUGAGUAACAUAUCGGAACGUGUCCAAUAAUGGGGGGAUAACUAGUCGAAAGAUUGGCUAAUACCGCAUACGCCCUGAGGGGGAAAGUGGGGGAUCUUCGGACCUCACGUUAAUGGGAGCGGCCGAUAUCUGAUUAGCUAGUUGGUGGGGUAAAGGCCUACCAAGGCGACGAUCAGUAGCUGGUCUGAGAGGACGACCAGCCACACUGGGACUGAGACACGGCCCAGACUCCUACGGGAGGCAGCAGUGGGGAAUUUUGGACAAUGGGGGCAACCCUGAUCCAGCCAUGCCGCGUGAGUGAAGAAGUAUUUCGGAUCGUAAAGCUCUGUUGAGAGGGACGAGAGAUAUAAUCAGGAAAUGGGUUAUAGAGGACGGUACCUUUCGAGGAAGCCACGGCUAACUACGUG
rnacentral:rRNA from 1 species